rnacentral:rRNA from 1 species
UACGAAGGGGGCUAGCGUUGUUCGGAAUCACUGGGCGUAAAGGGCGCGUAGGCGGCCAACUAAGUCAGACGUGAAAUCCCCAGGCUCAACCUGGGAACUGCGUCUGAUACUGGAUGGCUUGAAUUCGGGAGAGGGAUGCAGAAUUCCAGGUGUAGCGGUGAAAUGCGUAGAUAUCUGGAGGAAUACCGGUGGCGAAGGCGGCAUCCUGGACCGACAUUGACGCUGAGGAGCGAAAGCUAGGGGAGCAAACGGG